UCCUCUCCAAGGUUUCUCAUAAUCAGCAUUGUCACUGGCGUCCCACUGGAUGUGAAUUCUCCCUGCCCACUGGGUGUGAGUUUUCCUUGCCCUUUUGUGGGUUCUUCCGAGGAUGUUGUAGUCGUAAUAAUUUGUGCAGUCCUUUGAGACAUUUGUGAUUUGGGGCUAUAUAAAUAAACAUUGAUUGAUUGAUUGAUUGAGAUAACGUACCUGAGUGCUGCUAACAAUAACAAGGCAACAACUGCACUUGGCUUCUUCAUGAGCUCUGUUGAUGAAUUUGGCUUUCCAGUAAGGUGAGAAAAUGGCAAGAUCCUCCAAUAUUCUAUUUUGUUAGUCAAAUGUUAUUAACUGUAAACAUUUUUCUUUGUUUCUGUCAUUAUUUAGAGUUCAAGGUGACCAAGCAGUUAAGAAUGUUGCCAUUGCUCACUGCAUAUUCACUGUUCACGGCUGUGGUAGAGGAAGCUUCAUAUCAGGAAAGAGCGUGCACAAUCAAAGGGUUGAGCCCUUGUGGCGUGACGUGUGGAUGGCAGUAACAAGUGUAUACUAUGAGCUGCUUCACAGUCUUGAAGAAGAUGAGCUGCUAGAUCCCUCCAUCAGUCUGCACUUUUUUGUGCCCAGUAUGUAUUUGUACCACGCCUCCGAAUGGACCUCGACACUUUUACAGGUGCAUGGGACAACCAUCCUCUGCGAACUGAACAAAACCUGACUCCCAAUCAGCUAUGGACCCAGACUCCUGUGGCUGCUCCAGAGAGUCUAGAGGGUAUGCAAACUGUCCCGGGCAGGAACCUGGACAGUUUGGGUGAAGCGUCCACAGGUGUAGUUCUCCCACCAGUCCAUUGCCCUCUGGGACCACAGGCGAUGGCAGGAUUGAUGGCAGCCAUCAAUCCUAUUACUCCCUCCCAGGACAAUGGAAGAGACAUUUACAAGGCUACAGUGGACUAUGUAAUGUUUCAGUUUUAAGAAACGGGUUUGUGCAGAGUUGGUGACUCCCAGAAUAGACUUGCAGACCUGCAGACCUGGCUAACUUACAGUGGUAGACCAUGGGUGGUCAGGAAACAUGUCCUCUACACUCAGCUGAAAUCUAUCUCUGAACUCAGUGUAUGUCUUCCAUAUUAUACAGCAGGAAGAGUCCUUAGAACAUUUAUUAAAAGAUAACUUGUAAUGUAAUGAACUCUGUGAUAUUUUUGUAACAUUUACAGGAAAAUGUGAAUUGUUAACUGAAGACACUUUUAAACAUGCCUUUGUUUUUGAAAAUGCAUAAUACAUUUCUUUCUUUUUUGGCUGUACUGUUUUCCUUAAAUCAUUAUGUUCAUCUUAAGUAGUGUGACAGCAGCUAAUACACACACCAUAACAGUGUAUUUUACCCAAGUCCAAAGUGGAUUCAGUAAUGGUACCCACUAUAAUGUGCCAUGAAGUUUGUGUGCAUCAAAAAUAAUCAAUUUGUUAUAUACAUGAAUAAAUUACGAUGUAAGUA